rnacentral:rRNA from 1 species
UACGGAGGGUGCGAGCGUUAAUCGGAAUUACUGGGCGUAAAGCGCGCGUAGGCGGUUUGGUAAGCUGGAUGUGAAAGCCCUGGGCUCAACCUGGGAACUGCAUCCAGAACUGCCAGGCUAGAGUAUGGUAGAGGACAGUGGAAUUUCCGGUGUAGCGGUGAAAUGCGUAGAGAUCGGAAGGAACACCAGUGGCGAAGGCGACUGUCUGGACCAAUACUGACGCUGAGGUGCGAAAGCGUGGGGAGCAAACAGG